rnacentral:lncRNA from 1 species
GACUCUUCCAUUUCAUCGCCCAAAAAUAAGGUGGUGUCCAAAUUAAUUUGGCAUGGAGUUUCUUCCAAAAGAAGGACUCCUUCUCCUCUUCCACACCCACACAUCCCAUAGCACCAUCAGAUGGCACACAAAAAAUAAGGAAUGAGUGGAACUUGGUAAUAAAAUUAAGAGGAGUAGAUGAGAAGGACUCUUCCUUCUCAUCACCAUUUAUUUUGGGUGUGACAAUUAAUUUGUGUGUGGCUUUUGAUGUAGAGGAGAUGGAUCACACAUGGAACACUUUCAUAAAAUCCAAAUCAGCAACCUAUUUAAAAAUAGAUUCAAACCCAAUCACAUUAUGUCAAAGCAAC